UACAGAGGGUGCAAGCGUUAAUCGGAAUUACUGGGCGUAAAGCGUGCGCAGACGGUUGCGUAAGUCAGAUGUGAAAGCCCCGGGCUCAACCUGGGAACCGCGCUUGAGACUGGAGAACUAGAGUUCGGGAGAGGAUGGUGGAAUUCCCAGUGUAGAGGUGAAAUUCGUAGAUAUUGGGAAGAACACCGAUGGCGAAGGCAGCCAUCUGGACCGACACUGACGCUGAGGCGCGAAAGCGUGGGGAGCAAACAGG
rnacentral:rRNA from 1 species